UACGUAGGGGGCAAGCGUUGUCCGGAAUCAUUGGGCGUAAAGAGCGUGUAGGCGGCUUGGUAAGUCCGCUGUGAAAGUCCAGGGCUCAACCCUGGAAAGCCGGUGGAAACUGUCAAGCUUGAGUCCGGAAGAGGCGAGUGGAAUUCCUGGUGUAGCGGUGAAAUGCGCAGAUAUCAGGAAGAACACCCGUGGCUAAGGCGGCUCUCUAGUACGGUACUGACGCUGAGACGCGAAAGCGUGGGGAGCGAACAGG
rnacentral:rRNA from 1 species